AACGAACGCUGGCGGCAGGCUUAACACAUGCAAGUCGAGCGCCCCGCAAGGGGAGCGGCAGACGGGUGAGUAACGCGUGGGAAUCUACCCAUCUCUACAGAAUAACGCAUGGAAACGUGUGCUAAUACCGUAUACGUCCUUCGGGAGACAGAUUUAUCGGAGAUGGAUGAGCCCGCGUUGGAUUAGCUAGUUGGUGGGGUAAAGGCCUACCAAGGCGACGAUCCAUAGCUGGUCUGAGAGGAUGAUCAGCCACACUGGGACUGAGACACGGCCCAGACUCCUACGGGAGGCAGCAGUGGGGAAUAUUGGACAAUAGGCGCAAGCCUGAUCCAGCCAUGCCGCGUGAGUGAUGAAGGCCCUAGGGUUGUAAAGCUCUUUCACCGGUGAAGAUAAUGACGGUAACCGGAGAAGGAGCCCCGGCUAACUUCGUGCCAGCCGCCGCCGUAAUAC
rnacentral:rRNA from 1 species